rnacentral:rRNA from 1 species
ACUGUUUACCAAAAACACAGCACUCUGCUAACUCGUAAGAGGAUGUAUAGGGUGUGACGCCUGCCCGGUGCUCGAAGGUUAAUUGAUGGGGUUAGCAUUAGCGAAGCUCUUGAUCGAAGCCCGAGUAAACGGCGGCCGUAACUAUAACGGUCCUAAGGUAGCGAAAUUCCUUGUCGGUUAAAUACCGACCUGCAUGAAUGGCGUAACGAGAUGGGAGCUGUCUCAAAGAGGGAUCCAGUGAAAUUGUAGUGGAGGUGAAAAUUCCUCCUACCCGCGGCAAGACGGAAAGACCCCGUGGACCUUUACUACAGCUUGACACUGCUAUUUGGAUAAGAAUGUGCAGGAUAGGUGGGAGGCUUUGAGUAUAUGACGCCAGUUGUAUAUGAGCCAUUGUUGAGAUACCACUCUUUCUUAUUUGGGUAGCUAACCAGCUUGAGUUAUCCUCAAGUGGGACAAUGUCUGGUGGGUAGUUUGACUGGGGCGGUCGCCUCCCAAAUAAUAACGGAGGCUUACAAAGGUUGGCUCAGAACGGUUGGAAAUCGUUCGUAGAGUAUAAAGGUAUAAGCCAGCUUAACUGCAAGACAUACAAGUCAAGCAGAGACGAAAGUCGGUCUUAGUGAUCCGGUGGUUCUGUGUGGAAGGGCCAUCGCUCAAAGGAUAAAAGGUACCCCGGGGAUAACAGGCUGAUCUCCCCCAAGAGCUCACAUCGACGGGGAGGUUUGGCACCUCGAUGUCGGCUCAUCGCAUCCUGGGGCUGGAGCAGGUCCCAAGGGUAUGGCUGUUCGCCAUUUAAAGCGGUACGCGAGCUGGGUUCAGAACGUCGUGAGACAGUUCGGUCCCUAUCUGCCGUGGGCGUAAGAAGAUUGAAGAGAUUUGACCCUAGUACGAGAGGACCGGGUUGAACAAACCACUGGUGUAGCUGUUGUUCUGCCAAGAGCAUCGCAGCGUAGCUAAGUUUGGAAAGGAUAAACGCUGAAAGCAUCUAAGCGUGAAGCCAACUCUAAGAUGAAUCUUCUCUAAGCUCUCUAGAAGACUACUAGUUUGAUAGGCUGGGUGUGUAAUGGAUGAAAGUCCUUUAGCUGACCAGUACUAAUAGAGCGUUUGGCUUAUCUUUAAUAAAGCAU